rnacentral:rRNA from 1 species
GACGACGCUGGCGGCGUGCCUGACACAUGCAAGUCGGACGGUUCUUGCACCUUCAAGCUUGCUUGCUGGUGCAGGGAUAGUGGCGGACGGGUGAGUAACGCGUGAACAUCUACCCAUUGGAGGGGGACAACCCGUCGAAAGGCGGGCUAAUACCGCGUAAGCCGUGAGGUGAGAGGCUGCCUAUUGGUGGCCGCCGAUGGAUGGGUUCGCGUCCUAUCAGCUGGUUGGUGGGGUAACGGCCUACCAAGGCGAAGACGGGUAGCCGGUCUGAGAGGAUGGCCGGCCACACUGGAACUGAGACACGGUCCAGACUCCUACGGGAGGCAGCAGUGGGGAAUAUUGGGCAAUGGGGGUAACCCUGACCCAGCGACGCCGCGUGAGGGACGAAGGUUUUCGGAUCGUAAACCUCUGUUGUACGGGAAGAAGGAAUUGACGGUACCGUACGAGAAAGCCCCGGCAAACUACGUG